AGAUUGAACGCUGGCGGCAUGCCUAACACAUGCAAGUCGAACGGGAGUAGCAAUACUCUAGUGGCGGACGGGUGAGGAAUACGUAGGAAUUUGCCCUUAAGUGGGGGAUAACCCGGGGAAACCCGGAUUAAUACCGCAUGACCUCGAAAGAGCAAAGUGGGGGAUCGCAAGACCUCACGCUUUUGGAGAAGCCUACGUCGGAUUAGCUAGUUGGUGAGGUAAUGGCUCACCAAGGCGACGAUCCGUAACUGGUCUGAGAGGAUGAUCAGUCACACCGGAACUGAGACACGGUCCGGACUCCUACGGGAGGCAGCAGUGGGGAAUAUUGGACAAUGGGCGCAAGCCUGAUCCAGCAAUGCCGCGUGUGUGAAGAAGGCCGUUCGGUUGUAAGACUACUUUAAGUUAGGUAAGAAAAACGUAACGCGUACUAACACAGUGAGUCGUUGACGUACCGACGAGAAUAAGACACCGACUAACUACUGUCGCGACG
rnacentral:rRNA from 1 species